GAUGAACGCUGGCGGCGUGCCUAAUACAUGCAAGUCGAGCGAACAGAUGAGGGGCUUGCUCCUCUGACGUUAGCGGCGGACGGGUUAGUAACACGUGGAUAACCUACCUAUAAGACUGGGAUAACUUCGGGAAACCGGAGCUAAUACCGGAUAAUAUAUUGAACCGCAUGGUUCAAUAGUGAAAGACGGUUUUGCUGUCACUUACAGAUGGAUCCGCGCCGCAUUAGCUAGUUGGUAAGGUAACGGCUUACCAAGGCAACGAUGCGUAGCUGACCUGAGAGGGUGAUCGGCCACACUGGAACUGAGACACGGUCCAGACUCCUACGGGAGGCAGCAGUGGGGAAUCUUGCGCAAUGGGCGAAAGCCUGACGGAGCAACGCCGCGUGAGUGAUGAAGGUCUUCGGAUCGUAAAACUCUGUUAUUAGGGAAGAACAAAUGUGUAAGUAACUAUGCACGUCUUGACGGUACCUAAUCAGAAAGCCACGGCUAACUACGUG
rnacentral:rRNA from 1 species